ensembl:lncRNA ASNSP1 ASNS pseudogene 1
GCCCAGCCGGUAUAAGCGCCAGCAGCCCCGCCGCCGGCAUGCUGUCCACAGCCCUGGCCUCCACUGCCCACAUCGCCCUGACCUGUUUGCGCCCUGACUUUCUUCAAUCACACCUGAAUAAAUCACUUAGAGAGAGCUUAUAGCUUCAUUCCACCACGUGUGGCAUUUGGCCCUGUUUGGCAGUGAUGACCGCCUUUCUGUUCAGUGUCUGAGUGCUAUGUAGAUUGCACACAGGGGUCCAGAUGCAUUCUGUUUUGAGAAUGUCAGUGGAUACACCAAUAGCUGCUUUGGAUUUCACCAGAACCGCUGUUUGGAAUGCAGCCAAUUCAAGUGAAGAAAUAUCCAUAUUUGUGGCUCUGUUACAGUGGUGAAAUCUACAACCAUAAGAAGGUCUUGUUACAUUGAAGCACUUCAAGACUCCCUUUUUAAAAGUGGAGCCCUUUCUUCCUGGACACUAUGAAGUUUUUGAUUUAAAGCCAAAUGACCAAGUUGCAUCCGUGGUAAUGGUUAAAUAUCAUCACUGUCGGGAUGAACCCCCACACGUGCUCUAUUACAAUGUGGAGAAACUCUUUCCAGGUUUUGAGACAGAAACUGUGAAGAACAAACUCCGGAUCCUUUUUCAUGAUGCUAUAAAGAGGCGUUUUAUGAUAGACAGGUUGCCUUUUAUCAGAGGGCUUGGACUCCAGCUUGUUGCUGCUACCCUGUUGAAGCAGCUCAAAGAGGCCCAAGUACAGUAUCCUCUCCAGACAUUUGUAAUUGGCAUGGAAGACAGCCCUGAUUUACUGGCUGCUAGAAAGGGAAGUUAUUUUCUUUAACAAGUAAAUGGGCAUUUAUAUAAUAAGGUGGCAAAUCAUAUUGGAAGUGAACAUCAUGAAGUUCUCUUUAACUCUGAGGAAGGCUUUCAGGCUCUGGAUGAAGUCAUAUUUUCCUUGGAAACUUACAACAUUACAACAGCUGAUGCUUCAAAUGAGAUAGAAAAACAUCUCCUGAGAGAGACAUUUGAGGACUCCAAUCUGAUACUCAAAGAGAUUCUCUGGUGACCAAAAGAAGUCUUCAGUGAUGGAAUAACUUCAGUUAAGAAUUCCUGGUUUAAGAUUUUACAGAAAUAUGUUGAACAUCAGGUUGAUGAUGCAAUGAUGGCAAAUGCAGCCCAGAAAUUUCCCUUCAAUACUCCUAAAACCAAAGGAUACUACUACCAUCAAAUCCUUGAACACCAUUUCCCAGGCCAGGCUGACUGGCUGAGCCAUUACUGGGUGCCCAAGUGGAUCGAUGCCACUGACCCUUCUGCCCACACACUGACCCACUACAAGUCAGCUGCCAAAGCUUAGGUGCUCUUUAUGCUGUAAUAUGAAAGCAAAUAUUUCUUCUUAUU